UAGUGGUUAGCAUAGAACUGUACACAUCUCUUCAAAAAAUAAUCCAUAUAUCAUUGUCUAGAUCGCUGUAAACACUCUAGUUAUAAUCCAUAUACGUGCAGAUCGAGCUGAGUGUUUUUCAGAAGAAAAUAAAUCAAGCUGAGAAGUAUGAUUAAUUCGCUGGCCCUUAUAUAUGUUAGUAGUAAACCAGGCCAUGAUAUUAGUGCAUUGCACACACAUCCAAGAUGAAGAUCUGGAAAUGCGUGCUUCAAGGAGCUCGACAGAAACAUUCACAUCGUGAGGACCAUGCGAUCAGGCUGCUGCUACCUCAGUUUGCAGUAAAAAAAAUUGCAUCCGUUUGGGACCAGCUUCUCAGCGAGCACUAGCAGCAACUGCGGCGGUGAAUGUUGUGGCUUUUAAUCCACUUCCGUAAGCAGGCAAGCCUGAAACAUCCCAGAGCCGUUCAGGGCUCAUUACGCGAUGGAACCACCACCGCGUUUAUUAUAUCAUAGGGCUACCGACUGGACUUCAUCACGAUUCAAUACAUGUUCUUUUCCUUAAACCAUGAGUUAAUUGAGUCCAUACAUGUUUCUUUGACCGGCAGCGGUUGGCGCCCUUAAAGCUGAGCUUGCAUAGGAGGUUUGUGAGUGGCAAUCAUGCUAGAGUCCAAGAUGCAGCUGUUUUCUAUGCAGCCUAGAGAGCCGGGACUGAGAAGGCAGGCAGGCAGAGGCAGGGCAUACACACCACGUCCCCUCUUUCUUUUUCAUCACAUGAGCUCUAUGCCUGUAGAUUGGGCAAAGAACAAGCGGCUCCACGAUCUUUUGCAAAGGUGCUGCCAUCUCCACCGAGUACUAUAUACGCCCUCAUUAUUCUAGUAGCAUCCUCUCUCAGUUCGUUUGCACGAAUACAGAUGCGUUGUUUAACAUGCAGACAAGAGCGUCGCAGCAAAUCGCAUGCAGGCUUGUUUAAUUAAGCACCGUGCACAGUAUCUCUUGCAUGCAACAAUGCAUUGAUAUGAUAAAGAACUGUAUGGUUUCAGAGGAAUCUUGGAACGACAGACAUUUGUGGAACACGAUAUUGUCUAGAAAACUGGUUUUUAACGGCAUCUAGCAUGUGUGCAUGGUGUCAUCAAAAUGAUGAUGAGAUAAUGUGGGCCUCAUCUAGAGAAGAAGCAUGGCAUUCUUUUUCUUGUUUCACAUCUCACUUGUCUCUACAUUGUACACGCAUAUCUCUUUAUUUUUUUUGAGGGGUUGUACAUGCAUAUCUUAAAUAUAUAUGAAAUGUG